rnacentral:rRNA from 1 species
AGCAGCCGCGGUAAUUCCAGCUCCAAUAGCGUAUAUUAAAGUUGUUGCAGUUAAAAGCUCGUAGUUGAAUUUCGGGGUCAGUAGGUCGGUCGUGCCACUGGUAUGAACUGGUUUUACUGAUUCCUCCCUCUUGAAGAACUGUAAUGCCAUUAAUUUGGUGUUGCAGGGAAUCAGGACUGUUACUUUGAAAAAUUAGAGUGUUUAAAGCAGGCCUUAGCUUGAAUACAUUAGCAUGGAAUAAUGAAAUAGGACGUUUGAUCCUAUUUUGUUGGUUUCUAGGAUUGACGUAAUGAUUAAUAGGGAUAGUUGGGGGUAUUAGUAUUCAAUUGUCAGAGGUGAAAUUCUUGGAUUUAUUGAAGACUAACUACUGCGAAAGCAUUUGCCAAGGAUGUUUUCAUUAAUCAAGAACGAAAGUUAGGGGAUCGAAGACGAUCAGAUACCGUCGUAGUCUUAACCAUAAACUAUGCCGACUAGGGAUCGGAUGAUGUUAAUUUUUAAUGACUCAUUCGGCGCCUUACGG